UUUCCUGUCUUUGUCUGUUUUCCCUCCUUUUCUUGAUAGUUUGCCCUGCCCUGACAGUUUUCUCCUGCGUCCAGUCCCCGUGCUCCGUUCUUGGUGUCGGAGGUGGCGUUGUUGGUGAACUGCAUCUGCACGGCCACCAUGUUGGCAUCGGGGCUGAACGGCUGCCGGCUGAAGCAGUACUCCACCGACAGACCCUCCCCUGUGAUCCGGUGCAGCAGCUCGAAGCUCUUCAGGGCGCUGGAAGGAGCAAUGGUCUGCAGGUGGAGGACAAGACAGUAAAGCUCACCUGUGGCUCCUCAGGAGACGGACCAGAGCCUUGGCAAUCACUCCAACCUCCGCUUUAGGGGCAAGAUGGAAAUACAGCUGAGCCACAGCCAUCACCACCUGGAGUGAGAAGGGAGAGACAUGAUGAAUGAAAGAUGGGUGUGGAGCUUCAGAAGGAAGAAUCGGACACAGACUGAAUAAUCAGCAGAUGACUGCACAUCUUUCCACAAGGGACUGAAGGUCUGUGGUGCUGAGCUGAAACACUGAGAUGUGCUGCUGCAGGGACUGCAGGACCCGACUCACGCCACUCAGACGGCCACCCAACAGGUGUUGCAAGGUGGAUACAAUGCAAUCCAGGCAAUGGAAGACCUCUUAUAUUCAUACUUUGUUCUACUACAUGCAGUGAAUACCACACACUGAAACCAACGCUCCCGCCACAUCCAGCUGAGCAGCGGACGGAGGCUUCGUCGUCUGUGAGGAGGUGGCCGCUGCAGAACACGGUUGAUGUAUCACGACUCCACCGCCGGUCUGUAAGUGUGUGUGUGUGUGUGUGUGCGCACUAAGAAGGAUGUCUGCUUUCGUCUACAUCACUCAUCAAAGUGUUAAUAAUUUCCUUGCGUGAAUAAUAUAGCGCAUACACUUCAAGACCUAAAUUCAUCAAAGAGUGUCGAAUUAAAACCUGACAGUAUCUAUAAAAUGCUAUUUGUGACGGAUUAUUUUUGGAUGC